CCUACGGGUGGCUGCAGUGGGGAAUAUUGCACAAUGGUGGAAACCCUGAUGCAGCCACGCCGCGUGAGUGAUGAAGGCAUUCGGGUUGUGAAGCUCUGUCUUCAGGGACGAUAAUGACGGGCCCUGAGGAUGGAGCCACGGCUAACGACGUGCCGGCAGCCGCGGUAAUCCGUAGGUGGCGAGCGUUGUCCGGAUUUAGUGGUCGUAAAGUGGGCGUAGGCGGACUUUUAAGUGAGAGGGGAAAUACUCGGGCACAACUUGAGGGCUGCAUUUAAAACUGGAAGUCUAGAGUGCAGGAGAGGAGAAUGGAAUGCCUAGUGUAGCGGUGAAAUGCGUAGAGAUUAGGAAGAACACCAGUGGCGAAGGCGAUUCUCUGGACUGUAACUGACGCUGAGGCUCGAAAGCGUGGGGAGCAAACAGGAUUAGAUACCCUGGUAGUC
rnacentral:rRNA from 1 species